UACGUAGGAGGCGAGCGUUGUCCGGAAUUACUGGGUGUAAAGCGCGUGUAGGCGGUCUGAAUAGUCUGCUGUGAAAGCGCCUGGCUUAACCGGGCGAGGUCGGCGGAAACUCUCAGACUGGAGGCCGGUAGAGGGGGGUGGAAUUCCCGGUGUAGUGGUGAAAUGCGUAGAGAUCGGGAGGAACACCUGUGGCGAAGGCGGCCCCCUGGGCCGCGCCUGACGCUGAGACGCGAAGGCUAGGGGAGCAAAACAGG
rnacentral:rRNA from 1 species